UAGACCCAUACAAUCGAUUUUUUUCAGAUCUACUAAGUGUUUUAGUAGACCCAUACAAAACAGGUUCGAGAUGCCAAGAUAAAGGUCCUCUCCAACCUAAAACGAACUACUGAUGAGGAACGUUCUGAGUGGAAAAAGUUAUCAUCCAAGCUAAAGAUCUGAGAGUUUACACUUCCAUGCUCCAUUGACAUCAAGUUUUCAUCUUCAAAAAAAAUUCAGAAAUAUUAGCUAUUGAUAUUGCAGAUUUAGUCUUUGUGUAAAGUAAAAAUAAGUGUUGUAAUAAUUGCUUAGUAUCUUAUUGUAAUUGAGACAAAUAGUAAAUAGGCAAAAACUAAACAAUAAAAAUAAAAGUACCACAUAAAAAUGGAAAAAUCAUAAAAACAAAAAAAACAUAAAAAAGGAUUUGAACAACUAAGAAUAGAGAGAAAAAUUCUACAUUGUCAAAAUUUCGAAAAUGAACAUAUGUUGCUUGUAUUUAUAGGCAUAUUUUAGGCUCAAAUUUGAAAUUUGAAUUUUGGCUCCAUGCUUGGAGGCCAAGAUUAAUAAAUGCCGCCUAAGAUGCUUGGGGCCCAAGUUGGAAAAUGAA